rnacentral:rRNA from 1 species
CUAAAGCUUAAGUUCAAUCUUGAUUUCACCCAAGAUCAUAUCAAAGGCUGUGUGGAUCUGCUAUUCUCUUCAAGCUACAAAAGUUUCCGUCACAAGUGUUAUGAACAUUAUGUAAAAUCUGGUGAUGAUGCUAGAAGCAAUCCAUAUCCUCCCCUUAUUGAUAAUAGAGUUGGAGACUGGAUUUGUCUCUGUGAUCAUUUUGAAACAGAAGAAUUUAAGAAACGGUCCACAAUUGGGAAGGCUAACCGCUCAAACCUACCUUAUGUUCACAAGAAGGGAACAAAGUCAUUUGUAGCGGUUCAACAUGAAUUAAAUUGUGGCGAUAUCAGACUAUACAAGGAGUGUUACUCUAGUGAUAAGAAGGGAUGGGCAUCAGAAGAUGCCAGGAAUAAACAUAAGCAAAAGGAACCCAUAGAGGAGGGUGAAGUACCUUUAACAGAGCAACAGAUUUGCGAGCAUGUGCUUGGUAAGGCAUAUGGUUACAUCAGAGGUCGGGGUCAUGGACCAAAACCAAAUAGAAGGGCUUACUCAAGCGCAUCAAGCUCAACUCAGCAUGUAGUGGAAGAAUUGGCCUCUACAAAGGAGAUUGUUGCUACACAACAAACUCAAAUUGAGGCUCAACAAUCUCAACUUGAAGCUCAACAGAAGAAGAUCGAUUGGCUACAAAAUGUCGUGUCUAACUUGGUUGGCAUUUCACCUCCUAUGGACGGCACUACUGCAACAAGGCUAGGUUUCACAACUGAGCGGCCAAUGCCAUCUGACGGAAUAGGUUCGCUGAUGUCUAACACUGUACAAAGGAUGUCAAGUUUUCCAAGAUCAUUUGCAAGCUUGCUUAGAUAUAACAGUGUACUUGGUAUCAAGAUCUUCUAA